rnacentral:rRNA from 2 species
UACGUAGGGUGCAAGCGUUAAUCGGAAUUACUGGGCGUAAAGCGUGCGCAGGCGGUUUUGUAAGACAGAGGUGAAAUCCCCGGGCUCAACCUGGGAACUGCCUUUGUGACUGCAAGGCUAGAGUACGGCAGAGGGGGAUGGAAUUCCGCGUGUAGCAGUGAAAUGCGUAGAUAUGCGGAGGAACACCGAUGGCGAAGGCAAUCCCCUGGGCCUGUACUGACGCUCAUGCACGAAAGCGUGGGGAGCAAACAGG